UACGUAGGGUGCGAGCGUUGUUCGGAAUUACUGGGCGUAAAGCGUGUGAAGGCGGUACGCUAAGUCUGAUGUGAAAUCCCUGGGCUUAACCCAGGAACUGCAUCGGAAACUGGCGAACUAGAGUUCGGGAGAGGGUCGUGGAAUUCCUGGUGUAGAGGUGAAAUUCGUAGAUAUUCGGAAGAACACCAGUGGCGAAGGCGGCUCACUGGACCGGUAUUGACGCUGAGGUGCGAAAGCGUGGGGAGCAAACAGG
rnacentral:rRNA from 1 species